UAAGGCCUUUAGUGGGUCCGGCGCCACGGACCAAGCGGUUCGCUGCGGUUCGCUCCGUGUUCCGGCUCCCAAACUUUGUCCUUUUCUGGAUUCCUUGCUGACAGACUGCUUCCCGUGGGACUACGAGAUGAACCAUCAAUUCUCCUGCUUGGAGCAUCACAGCUUGGCUGCUGAAAUUCUGGAGCUGAUGGCGGAGAGAAGAUGAGUGGUCUCAACAUUCAAAAUACAACAUCGAGAGGAAACCUAUUGGUGAGAGGUAAAGGCAACCUGAAGCAAUUUUUAUGAUCGGUGGAUUCUGCUUUUUUUGAAGUUGUACUGCAUAAGAAGAGGAUAUUUGAAAGUAUUCAAGUAACCAGAUCUACUGUCACCCAGGCAAGAGGUCUUCCUCACCUGAAACAAGCAGAAAGGGAGUGGUUGCUGGCCCUGUUCAAAGUCCUUGAUAAUUACUUCGACUAUGCAAGUGAUCAUGGAGUACACCUGCCUCUGAGAAAGUAAACUGUCAGCUCUCUGUGGAGUCCUACCAGGGUG